AACGUUGGUAAUUACAUUACAUUACAAACGUUGGUAAUUACAUUACAUACUUUUUUGCAUUUGAGCUCCUAGAGUGUGCGGCUCUCCUUUAUUUUUAGAAGUAGCAUAGUGUCAGUUGCAGAUCAGUGUGGCUGGGUUAUUAAGUGCCUUGCUCAAGGGCACAACGGCAGUGAAUGGUGCCUGGGAGCAGAGAACAUACUUUUAUCGCCCGGCCCUGGGCUUGAACCUUCCAGCUACUGGUCCGCCUCUCUACUCUAACUUCCAUGCUAGCCACGGUCCGGAUCCAGACUCAGAACGGGGCCAAUACGGAUCCCUACAAGACGCGAAGGAUACACUGCUUCCUCCGGAACAGGCCACGACUGUAACGGCUUUCGUUGGUGGAAGGAGAYGAGGACCAAAAUGCAGCGUGUUGGAUGCCUGGAAGAAGUAGAUUGUUAUUUUAGUGAGGGGGUUCAUCGCCCCCAAUGCUUUCAAAGAAGAAUCAUGGCCAUAUAUGGAUUGACCAUGCCCCCAGAGCCAAAAUUAUGCAGUUUGCAUGCCCUGCGGAAUGAUCGGAAUAGGCGCUUGGAGUUUGUCGGUCCCCAAGUUUGUACCAGUAACGCUAGCAUUGUGUGUGUGCAACAACCGGUGGUGUGACGACCUAGAAUUACCUUGACCCGAGUUACUACCUGAAUGACAGACGUCUUCAUCGACAACGGUAAUGUGUGUAAUGUGAAAAGUUGUGUAAAAAAAAUACCUGGUUUGAUAAACUAGUAGGGUAAUUACCCAGACAAGCAGAUACAAGUGGUAGUCAUUUUGGUUGUGAUGUGCAUUAUCAAAAAGCUUUGUCCUUUUUAUAAUAAAAUUGUAUCACCCUGUCACCGCCUCAGUCAACACCACCUCAUCAGAUGAGGAAGUACAUUGUUUAUGAGGAUUGCCUGCUGCAGUUGAUCGAGAUGUCCAGUUUGAAGCUAAACAUGCAACAUAGAGAAMACCACCAAGYGGACCCUUAGCAUCAAGCAGACAUGCCUCGCUGUGAGAAUUUCUAUAAAUUGAACAGGGAGGACACUUGAAUCAGGUUGGUGACAUUUGACCUGGUCUAAGGUCAAAACAGUUUUGAGUUUUGUCCCAAUUCACCUUCAUAACCAGGCUGGUGGAACUAGCCUGAACACUGCAUUUACCAUUCUAUUUCACUUCACAUUUCGUGAUAUCUGAAGUGAAAUAAAGGUGAAUGCAGCGAUCAUGUUGGUUCCACCAUACUAAURAUAACCACCAUUGAUAAUGUAAUCUGUGCUCUGUGUGUGACCGACCAGUAUCUUUGAUGGGCCAGGAACUGAUCUAUGCUGCCAUGCCCAUCAACGGCGCACAGGCUAAAACCUCACCSCCAGCCUCUCCUCUUGCCUGCACACCAACGGUCGUCGAUGGGGYGACCAGAAUAAAAUGCAUCUAUGGAGCCGGCACUUGGAGACUUGCAAGAUGAUGUGAUGGAGUCCUGAACGACAGACAGGCUUUAUACUGAUGUUUCUAAAUGGAGAGAGACCUGCCACUCGGCAUUAACAUUUUACUAGACACAACUUUUACUUGUAAUGUGUUUAAAAAAUAAAUAAAUUGAAUGGUA